CCGCACAGGCCGGCUGCCCUUCUGGUAGUGGGCCAGGAGGUAGUGGGACAGGCGGCGCAGGGUGGGUUCGGACGGCUCCGGCAUCCGGCCCCUGUGCUGGGUACCUGCUUAGCAGAGGGAGGAAGGGAGGGAGCGAGGGAGGCUGCUCGCACUGGGGCAGCGGCUGCCAUCACCCUGCGGUGUGCCAUGGGCUGCGGGAUGCUGCCAGCUGCCAGCCCUCACUUACCUGUUGGGAUUUCCUAUUCAAGUUAAAUAGGAGCAUCCUGAUGGGAAACAAGCCUGGCCAACCAGAACCAUCACCUAAUAUGUUACUGAUAUCCUGUGCUGUGCAGGUGGUCAGCGCUGUGACCUUCCCCAGCCUCAGAGGGCACAGCUGCCAGCCUCCGCCUUUCUGGACAGGUGCCAGGACAGCGGCAGCAGGGACCACGAGGGACACACUGCCCCUGGGUGCCCGUGCUCCCACAAAGCUGCCAGCUGCUGGAAAUCCUGGGGAAGCAGCGGGCAGGGACCAAAGCCUGCAGCAGUGGCGUAGAGCAAAUUGCAUCAGAUGCCGGCAUGGAGUCACUUAAACGAGAUAAGAAUUAGUGCGGGGCCCUGAUGAACUCCCCCUUGGCUGCCAACAGCAGUGUCGGGGAGAGAGCAAGAGCAGAGCUGGGGCUAAUUUGAUUUCUCAGCUCCGUUAGUGGCUGGCAAGUCACCUCCCAAGGAGCGCCAGCAGCUCACAGCACUCUCCCCUUAUUGAAUCUGGGUAAUGAAAAUCACGGGCAGCGCUGCCAUGGUACUGGGGACUGUGCCCCGCUCUGCCCCCUCUCCUCCAGCCUCCUGCAUCUGCAGCCGGCAGGAUGAGGCCAAGGGGAUGUGGACUGCUCCAGUGGAGCCUCUGCUGCAGCAUCAUUAACUGAAUUUUCUCCCUUGGGUUUUACAUCUUCAACUUAAAGAGAUUUUAAUGUA